UAUUCUCAGGGCGGGGCGAAAUUCCCCACCGGCGGUAAAUCAGCGAUGUUUAACGGUUUUUUGUUGCGGUAUACCGAGACAAAAAUCGCAGGACCAGCUGAAAGCCCGCGAGCGCUUUUUGCGAUAGCGAAAAGGUCAGCAGAUCCGGUGUAAUUCCGGGGCCGACGGUUAAAGUCCGGAUGGGAGAGGGUA
rnacentral:ncRNA from 1 species